rnacentral:tRNA from 1 species
UCCCAGCUAGCUCAGUUAGUAGAGCAUGAGAUCCUUAAUCUCAGGGUUGUGGGUUUGAGCCCCACAUUGGGCA